UUAUGGUUGUAAUCAGAUUAAAAAUUGCAACCCUGGUCAGAACUGUUCCUCUGUUUGUGUUCGAGAAUGUACACGUUAGUUGUUACAACUUGUCAUGCAGUUGUUACGGGAUACACUCUUGUCGGACAUUUUUCGUACAUAAAAUAGUACAAUUUAUAUUUGGCCAUUCCAUCUGAUUAAGUGGCCUGAAAACUGAUUGAUACAUUUUCCCAAAAUGUCAUCAGAUGGAGAAAUACUUCAGAACAGUAAAACCUGGUGAAGUCUGAGCUUCUUCAUUGCAGUCCGGUGCACAUGGAUUUGCUGCAACCAGCUGGCGGAAGGUGUUCCUCUUUCAGGCUUGCUAUCUGUAGCGGUUAUAACUUUCAUUACAUGCAGAAACACUAAAGAAAAAUUUAAAGUAUGUUUAUCCUGUAUUGUUCCCGUAGUUGCUGUCCGAUGUCGAUGUGGCUCAUUGUUGCAGCCUAUGCUGGUGAAAAAUCAUGUUUGCAUCAAGUUAAACUGGCUCUUCCUUGGUUCUUGUGUCGUGUUACGGAAGUUGAAUCAUUAUUUUGUUAAAUUGUCAUUGUAUCUGCAGUCUACCGUUGUAUGUUAAGAAAGAACAAAAACAGAAAUAUGGGGAUGUGUUAUGCCGAACAAAUAAUAAACAUGUUUUUGGGAUAAGGAAAGGGAAGUGGUGGAUGUUGGAGGGGGGAGGGAAGAUAUUUCAAGGUUUGAUAAAUAUUCAGUUAAUUUAUAAUCCUACAAAUGUAUCCCUACCAAUUAAUCUCCAAACCCCACAAACAUACCUUCCGAUCAUUCAAACCCUGAAAACAUACACCUACCAACCCUCAAAUCUAUACCCUUAACCCUAUAAACCAAUAUUAAACCUCUUAAU